ACACACACAGUCAGAUACACACACAGUCAGAUACACACAUACAGUCAGAUACACACAUACAGUCAGAUACACACACAUAGUCAGAUACACACACACACACAUAGUCAGAUACACACACAUAGUCAGAUAUACACACACAGUCAGAUACACACAUACAGUCAGAUACACACAUACAUAGUCAGAUACACACAUACAUAGUCAGAUAUACACAUACAGUCAGAUAUACACACAU